UACGAAGGGGGCUAGCGUUGUUCGGAAUUACUGGGCGUAAAGCGUGCGCAGGCGGCUUCUCAAGUCAGGGGUGAAAGCCCAGAGCUCAACUCCAGAACUGCCUUCGAUACUGAAAGACUUGAGUCCGGGAGAGGUGAGUGGAACUGCGAGUGUAGAGGUGAAAUUCGUAGAUAUUCGCAAGAACACCAGUGGCGAAGGCGGCUCACUGGCCCGGUACUGACGCUGAGGUGCGAAAGCGUGGGGAGCAAACAGG
rnacentral:rRNA from 1 species